rnacentral:rRNA from 1 species
GAUGAACGCUGGCGGCGUGCCUAAUACAUGCAAGUCGAGCGAACAGAUGAGGAGCUUGCUCCUCUGACGUUAGCGGCGGACGGGCGAGUAACACGUGGAUAACCUACCUAUAAGACUGGGAUAACUUCGGGAAACCGGAGCUAAUACCGGAUAAUAUAUUGAACCGCAUGGUUCAAUAGUGAAAGACGGUUUUGCUGUCACUUAUAGAUGGAUCCGCGCCGCAUUAGCUAGUUGGUAAGGUAACGGCUUACCAAGGCAACGAUGCGUAGCCGACCUGAGAGGUUGAUCGGCCACACUGGAACUGAGACACGGUCCAGACUCCUACGGGAGGCAGCAGUAGGGAAUCUUCCGCAAUGGGCGAAAGCCUGACGGAGCAACGCCGCGUGAGUGAUGAAGGUCUUCGGAUCGUAAAACUCUGUUAUUAGGGAAGAACAAAUGUGUAAGUAACUAUGCACGUCUUGACGGUACCUAAUCAGAAAGCCACGGCUAACUACGUG